rnacentral:lncRNA from 1 species
UCUUGUGAACAUUUUCGAUGAAAAAAAACUCUAUUUGCAUCCGCUAAAACAAUCUUAGGUUUUAUUAUUAAAUAUAUUCUAAGUUUAGAAUAUAAAUUUUUAUUUUUUCUAAAAUAUAUCACAUCCGUACAAUAUCAUUUUUUUUUCAUAUUCUUUUUAUUUGAUUUUUCAUUCUUGUAUUUUAAAUUCAAAUUCCAUCUAAAUUUAACUCUAAAACUAUCGAACCAACACCUAAGUUUUUUUUAAUAUUUUAUUCAUUACAGG